UACGUAGGGUGCAGGCGUUAAUCGGAAUUACUGGGCGUAAAGCGUGCGCAGGCGGUUUCUUAAGUCAGAUGUGAAAGCCCCGGGCUUAACCUGGGAACUGCGUUUGAAACUGGGAGACUUGAGUGUGGCAGAGGGGGGUGGAAUUCCACGUGUAGCAGUGAAAUGCGUAGAUAUGUGGAGGAACACCAAUGGCGAAGUCAGCCCCCUGGGUCAACACUGACGCUCAUGCACGAAAGCGUGGGGAGCAAACAGG
rnacentral:rRNA from 1 species